UACGGGGGGGGCAAGCGUUGUUCGGAAUUAUUGGGCGUAAAGGGCGCGUAGGCGGCUUUGUAAGUCGGGGGUGAAAGCCUGUGGCUCAACCACAGAAUUGCCUUCGAUACUGCAUGGCUUGAGACCGGAAGAGGUAAGUGGAACUGCGAGUGUAGAGGUGAAAUUCGUAGAUAUUCGCAAGAACACCAGUGGCGAAGGCGGCUUACUGGUCCGGUUCUGACGCUGAGGCGCGAAAGCGUGGGGAGCAAACAGG
rnacentral:rRNA from 1 species